UACAGAGGGUGCGAGCGUUGUCCGGAAUCACUGGGCGUAAAGGGCGCGUAGGUGGUGGCUUAAGCGUGCGGUGAAAGCUCGGAGCUCAACUCCGAGUCGGCCGUGCGAACUGGGCUCACUGGAGCAUAGUAGAGGCAGGUGGAAUUCCGGGUGUAGCGGUGGAAUGCGUAGAGAUCCGGAAGAACACCGGUGGCGAAGGCGGCCUGCUGGGCUAUGGCUGACACUGAGGCGCGACAGCGUGGGG
rnacentral:rRNA from 1 species